AGUGCUAUGGUUUAAGUGACAGUGGUCAUCUGGUAUGUUUGCAGUGUUGGCAGGUUGAGACUGUAUGGAACCUUGUAAACCAUAGGCAUUUUAGAUUUUCUCUAAUGGGUUUCUAUUUUUUCCCAUUGUACUGUUUCCUGUAAUAAAAGCUAUCAUCUAGUUUAUAUCUUAAAAAUAGCACUUUCCUUCAAGGCCAGCCUGGUCUAUAGAGUGAGUUCCAGGACAGCCAGGGCUACACAGAGAAACCCUGUCUCGAAAAACCCUAGCACUCUAGAAGCACAAGCAUGAGUUCUGGCAAGCUUGAGCCACAUAGCAAUUUCUAGGUCAAGAAUUUGGUAUGUGGCUCUUUCUCAAAUAAACAAGAAAUCACUUUGCUGUAGAAGCAAGAGGAAAAAAAAAUCAGCAAGAGACCAUAUAUGGUGCUGAAGAGAAGAUUAAGCUGUUAAGAGCACUUAAUGUUUUUCUAUAGGGCAAGUGUUCAGUUCCCAGCAUCCACAUGGUAACUCACAACUGUCAUUUCAGUUCUUGUAACUCCAGUUUUUUUUUUAAAGAUUUAUUUUAUGUAUAUGAGUACACUGUAGCUGUCUUCAGACACACCAGAAGAGGGCAUUAGAUUUCAUUACAUAUGGUUGUGAGCCACCAUGUGGUUGCUGGGAAUUGAACUCAGUACCUCUGGAAGAGCAGUCGGUGCUAUUAACCGCUGAGCCAUCUCUCCAGCCCAUAACUCCAGUUUUAAGGGAUCCUUUGCUCCUACUGUACUCCUUAGGCACUGAAUGAACAUGACACACACA
rnacentral:lncRNA from 1 species